UCUGGGUGUAGUGGCACACAUCCCAGCUCUUGGAAAGGUGGAUCUCUUGAGCUAGGGAGUUCUGAGCUGCAGAUGGGCAAUGUUAAUUAGAUAUACGUAUGAAGUUCAAGGACAAUAUGGUGAGCUUCAGGGAGUGGGGGCCACCAGAUUGCCUAAGGAGGAAUGAACCAGACCAGGUGGGAAACACAGCAGGAUAAAUUCCUGUGCCAAUCAGUAGUGGGAUCCGUAUAUGAAUAGGCCCUGUACUUCUAGCCUGAGGGAGAUGGGGAGAACU
rnacentral:SRP_RNA from 1 species